AGAAUUUAAUUCUUCCUUUAAUAUAAAUAAGGCAGCAUGAAACACUGAGAGCCCUGCUGCUUUCUGCUUCAGAAGCAGCUUUGGUACAAAAAAGAUCCCCCCACCCCUGUCCCGCUAAGUUGUUAUCUCUGCAUAAACAAGGGGCCAGAAGGUAGUUUUUCAGUGAACUUUCCCCUGGAAGCCAAGGGGAAGCCGAGGGAGGUUCAGGUUCGGUCUUAGCUUCUGGAGGCUGGUUCCUGGCUGGGGGUCUCCUCUAAGCACAACGAGAUAAGGAUGAAAGGGGAAAGGCAAGGCACGGGCAAUAAUAAAUACGGAAAUUCCCCCUGAUUCUGGAAACACAUCACAACUGAAUGGGGGUGUGGGCUGCUGUUGAGGGCCAUGUGAGCUUAAUCCUUCCUGGCAGCACCGGGCCACUGUGGUGCUGGGGACACACAGACCCAAGUCUGCACAGUCUGGCUGCAGCUCACGCGGAAUGGUUCCUACAGGCUUCAGCACCCCAUCACAGCCGAGCCUCCUGCUGCCAGUAAACCCUGUCAGGCAAACCGUCCAUCUUCCGGAACCCUGGGGCCAGGUGAGAGCACCCUUAGGGAAGGGACAGGAUCCUCACGGAGAGCCUGACACCCCUGUGGAACUGGGUAUGCUGUCUGGCAGGCAUGGCCAGCUUGAACCCCAGAGCAGAUCCCAAGUGCUGGUUCAGGCGUUCUUGGCUUGCUGCAAGGGUAAUGAGGCAGUGUCAUGAGAGAAAGUCCCAAAGGGCCAGUGAAGCCACAGGUGGGGUUGGAGUGGCUUCCCAAGCCCCCUACACAGGCCCGGAGAUAGGCUCGCUCCCACUGCUGGCUCUGGUGCCUGCUCAGUGACCAGGUAACCUCUGUGGGGCUCAGGGGCUGGGUUGGCAGCGCUGUCCUUGCACGUUCCCAGGCAGCCAAGUAUCUCUGGGUCUUGGUCAUCUGUGUGGCUGCCAAGGCUCAUCCAGAAAGGGGGGUUCUUGUGCGGUGGGAGCGCCCCACUGGAACAAACAGGUCUUGGGGCCCAGAGAUGGAGCUGGGUAUCCUCUUGCCUCCAGGCGUGCUCAGCUCUAGGACUGGGAUCUUGCUGAGGAAAACUCAGGUCUAUGGUAUCCCUCAUUUCUCAGCUCUGCUGUUUUCUCUGAACUGGGCAUCAGAGGCAGAGCCCAGCACCCCUGGGCACAAGGUUCCACCCUUUGCCCCAGUCACCCUGUGUCUCUUGCAGCUUCCAUCUUCAGUAUCUGCCCUCCCCCACCACACAGAUGAUCAGAGACCAGCUGUUGGAGCUUGUCCCUAGCAUGGUAUGUGGCACCAAUGCCACUCAGGGCACAGCACCCUGGGGGAAGGGGUGGGGAGAAGGGGGCGCACCUUAAGCGAGACACGUAGCUAAAAAAGCGGCCGAUCGAAACUUCUCUCUGCCACCAAGUACCCACUUCUGUGCAACAAAGACAUCGGCCCUUCUGGGCCUUGGACUUCUCCUAUGUCUUUUCUCCAAAUAGUUUAAAAAAUGGCAGCCACAGGUGGGCCCCUCCUGUGCAGGCUGGAGAUGGAAGGUUGCAAACUCCCAAGACUGUCCCAUCCUGUCAGGGUGCAGGGUCUCAACACGGGUCCCCAUCAGCACUCCUGUAGACCCUCUGUUGAUAUUCAAGUAAAUGUAAAAGUCACACCCAAGGCGAUGUUUGUGCUGUCUUUACCUCAGUGACCAGAGAGUAUCCUGUUGUCACCUUGGCCAUAUGGGGUGAUCCAAAAGUAAGCUGCAAAGGAUCAACCAGACGCAGACAAUAGCCUCAUCGGUAGGCCCCGGUGGCACGAGGGCAAACCAGCUCCCGGCUCGGGGUUCCGUUUCCUCCGUGCCGCGGGGCCUGGCUUCCUUGGCGGGCUGGGCCAUGGCGCCCGGCAGGGCCCGCCUUCGUCCUGGGCCAGGGCCUGCAGAUGCCCCCGGAGGUGUGGACGCGUGGGUGCCCCGCGCCCUGGCCCUCUGGGUGCUGGACGCUCUACAAGGCCGCAGCUUUGUGGGGCAGGCCGGGGUCUGAGGGGACGUGCAGGGAAUACUCGCUGAUGAGCACCGGCGCGUUCUUCAGCAUCUCGUAGAAGGCGUCCACCGUCUUGCGGUAGAGACUUCGCUGCAGGACGAAGGGCCUGAAGAGGUUGAGAGGCUCGGCCCGGCGAACGGCCUCCGGGAGCCCCAUGCCGUCGGGCACCUCGCGGUUGCCGAUGAAGAAGUGAUGGAGCUUCUUCUCCAGCAGGCUCUUCUCCAGGAAGCGGAGCAGCUCCCGCAGGCGAGCGUCCAGCUGCCCGGCCCUCCAGUCGGCCGGCCGGCGGCGGAGCAGGAGGUGCAGCAGGGCCGUCUUCAGGUGGUAGUUGCCGAGCCCGCUGCGGCCGGUCAGGCGGCUCUGCUUGGAGAGCAGGAAGGAGGCGAUCUGCAGGCAGCUGAGGUGGCAGGCGCCCUCCGGCAGGGCCUUCGAGGUCACCCUGAGGAAGUGCCGCUCGUACACAGCGAAGGACAGGAGCCAGUCGCUGCUGGACGCCGGGGCCUCCCCCGAGGGCUCCCUGGGAAGGUGGGAGACAAAGUACAGGUCCGAGUCGUCACACUGGAUCACCGGAAUCAGGUGGAAGGGCAUAAACUUCCCCGAGCGGAACUUGAUCUUGAGGGAGCCGGGCCGGUCCAGCUGACCGAAGGCCAGGUCGAACUCGUACUUGUGGGCGAUGCGGUGCCAGGCCCGGGUCAGGGCCAUCUGGAACCACUUCAUGACCCGCGCGGUGUCCAGGUACGGGGAGUCUCCGGCGCACAGCAGGCUCUCCAGCUCGCCGCCGGGCCGCGCCACGCUGCUCCUGCCGUGGAGGAGACACAGCAUGUCGUCCCCGAGCGUGGUCUUGCCGCAGACGCAGCCCAGCGCACCCUCAUCGGCCCUGACCACCCUGAUCUGGCCGUAGCCCUGGCGGCCCAAGGGCACCGAGCGGCGGGAGCAGCAGAGCUCCGGGCGGAAGUGGUAGGGCUCGGGGGGCACGAAGGGCACAAAGAGCUCGCACAGCAGCGGCCUGUCCACCUGCCAGUUCUCGUACAUGCUGUCCACGCCGAUGAAGUCCUCCAGCUCCAUGUCCGUGUCCCGGUUGCAGAGGCUCCUCAGGGCUUCCAGCAAGUCAUCCACGAAGCCUUCCACGAACUCCCGGGUGCGGGCCGCGUCGGCCGUGGCGCCCCGGAUGCAAUGCUCAUAAAAGUGGUGGAGGGUGGCCUUGUUGGGCAGGGUGAGGCCCCGGAGCGGGGCGCCGUCCAGGCCGGGCAGCUCGUCCUCGUCCCCGCCCAGGCACUCCGGGGAAGGCCCGUCCUGGUGGUCCUGCCGCCACACCUCGAUCACCAGGAAGAGGAUCAUGCAGAGGGUGCUCCACAGGUCCCAGGCUGUGCGAUUCUCAUUCUGCUGCUGCCCUUCCUCUGCCACGUGCUCCAGGGCCUCCUUCUCAGCUGCCAGCCGGGCCACCUCCUCCUCCAGGCGGAGCUGCUCCAGCUGCAGCUUCUCCUGGUGCGCCUGCAUCUUGCGGAUGAUCUCCUCCUCGUUCUCGGGCACUGUGGCAUUCUCCCGGGGGAACAGCAGUGGGUGGUUGAUGAUGGCUGUCACCACCACCAGACACACCCGGAAGAGCCCCAGAGCCAUGGCUGGAACUUUCCUGCCACACAGAGAGACAGAUCAGUGGUCACACCGAGCUUCCCUCCGUGCCACUUCCUCCCCGGACCGUCACACCAAGCUCUGUCCCACUGCGUCGGUGACUGUCUUGUAGGUCUUCUCCCGCUCAGCCUGCAGUCCUACCUCCUCCCCCACUGCUGUGUCUCAGUGCAGCCUUGGAAGAGGGAACUACAAAGUCACACACCAGGAAUCCCGGCUGAGCAACCCAUGGAAGCUGUCCUGUUUCUGGAAGCACAACCCACUUUGGCCAGGAGCCAACCCUUUUCAGUGGUCCCCGUCCAUGAUCGGGUGGGGAUAACUCCAACUCCAGCUACAGGGGUGAACAUAUAACCCAGGCCCAAACUAUUCCACACCCCUGUCUCCACAGUGUGGAUUCAUAGAGGAGCAUAGGACCUCACUCCGGCCAAUGUGAGAGACACAGAGAGAUAGGAUGUGCUGGGGCCGAUGGGGAGAAAGACGGCCCUGGGGCCUAGGUUUGCCAGGGAGCAGGAUCUUCGCUGCCCAUGGCUCUCCAGCUCCCGCAAAGGGGGGUCUGCUUGAGAGGGAUGCCAACGUAGAUACACGCAGACUCCUUGGAUACAGCUAUGCCUGAAGCUGUUGCCUCUGGACUCAUAAAGUCAUGUAAGUCCAUAGUUGCUUUGCUUUAAGUCAGUUUGAGCUGUUUUCCUAUCACUUCAACCCACCUCCCCCCGGUUAAUGCCGUGUAGCGAAUGUGACUUUGCUCGAGGCAAUAAAACCUAGUGGUUAAGAAUAAGAAGGCUGAGUUCCAAGGCCAGCUCUGUCACUGAUUAGCUGUGUGCCCUUGGACAUGUUAACACACCUCUCUGAGACCCAUUUUCCUUAAUGGACAGGAGGAAAGCUAUAUGUAGUAACCACAGGGCGCAGUAUUGAGGGAUGUGGUGACCCAUGCAAACUGUGUACACAGCACCGUGGAUGGUGCACAGCAUACAUUUGUUGAAUGGCAAGUGUUUUUGAACCAGUUUUGGGUCCUUGUCUUCCCCCACUGCACACCUCUCCUUCUGAUCUGUAAGGCCUCAUCCAAAUUCAGACACUGACCUCCUCGACUUUUCCCAGGUCUCUCCCCAGGGCAAUCUUGGAUAUAACCAGAGUGACUGAGUCAUUGGAUUUCCUUUCCUCUCAUGAGUCGUCUAAACUUAAAUCUCACUUCUUAAAAUUGUGUCUCCACAUGCCAUUCCUCCAGGACAAAUGGAUUUUUAGAUCUCAAGCCACCCCUUAUAAUUCUGGGAGUUUUUUAGAUACGCUGAACCUGGGGCCCCAUCCUGGGUCUGUUGAACCGGAAUCUGCAUUUUAAUAUCAUCCCCAUUAAAGUUUGAGAGGCACAGUCUUAUGGGGUAAGCCUCACAUUAUACCCUCUCCUCUCCCAGAGGGGAACCUCCCAGAGGGGAACCUUGCCAAGUAAUAAUGAGCCUUUCCCAUGCUUUGCCCUGCCCCCUUUCUGCCUGGGACCUCCGCUAGGAGAGCAAAUGGCCAAAUGAGGUUGUUGUUGGACUACAAAAGACACAGAAGGUUCCCCUGGCCACCCCCCAGCCUCGUAUGCCAACACGCGCUUCUCCACAUUGCUUGAGCCCCAUUCCCUAACCUUGCAUUUACACCCUUCCAACCACUUGUGCUGGUUCUUACCCUAAUGGUGCCAAGAACAGGUGUGUGUCAUCAGGUGAAGACAGCUCUGCAGGUUCUAGCCAGCAGUGCCAGGAUGUACACGACUCGGGUUGCCACAGGUGGGUAAAGCCUGCUUCUCAGAUGUGAUUCUAUCCCACACAUAGCUGGACAACGAGCAGGAACCAAAAGCGGGAUCCAGUGGUAGCAGAAUUCAGCGUGCACACAUAUUCAGGCCCCAGAGGUGGACUUGGGGAGGAGAGGGAGGACAGGAGAAAGUGCAGGAAGUCAGAUCGGAAGGGGUGUGGGGUGAGGAAAAAGUCCAGGGGGAAGCUAGCCAGCUUUUCUUCCCUAAGACAAGGAGUGGCUUGCUGGAUAAUUGCAGAAACAGGUCAGCCCUGGUUUCCACACAAGAGAAACAUCAAUGGAAAGUUUUGCCAGGGUGGUCCAAGGCAAAGCCACGAGGCAGGCUUACGAACGUGGAUCAGGGUUUUAAGAUAAAGGUGUGCAGUGCUAAUAAGCACAGCACCAGGCAGCAGCCAGCUGGGAGAGAAUUUGGAGGUUUUGAGGCCCUUGAGGGUCCCUGUACUAUAGGCAGUCCCCUUUGGGCAUAGCAGACCCUGACAGGUCACAGUAAUAGUCCUGGGUGGCCCCUGACCCAGGAGGUUGGUCUCCACGCCAAUUCAGGGUAGGAUGCCAGCAACUGGGGAAUAGCGCCAUCGUCAAGCCUCCUCUUUCCC
rnacentral:lncRNA from 1 species